rnacentral:rRNA from 1 species
CCUACGGGAGGCAGCAGUGGGGAAUUUUGGACAAUGGGGGCAACCCUGAUCCAGCCAUUCCGCGUGAGUGAAGAAGGCCUUCGGGUUGUAAAGCUCUUUCGCAAGGGAAGAAAACUUAUGAUCGAAUAAAUCAUGAGGUUGACGGUACCUUGAUAAGAAGCACCGGCUAACUACGUGCCAGCAGCCGCGGUAAUACGUAGGGUGCGAGCGUUAAUCGGAAUUACUGGGCGUAAAGCGUGCGCAGGCGGUUUUGUAAGUCGGAUGUGAAAUCCCCGGGCUCAACCUGGGAACUGCGUUCGAAACUGCAAGGCUAGAGUGUGUCAGAGGGGGGUAGAAUUCCACGUGUAGCAGUGAAAUGCGUAGAGAUGUGGAGGAAUACCAAUGGCGAAGGCAGCCCCCUGGGAUAACACUGACGCUCAUGCACGAAAGCGUGGGGAGCAAACAGGAUUAGAUACCCUGGUAGUCCACGCCCUAAACGAUGUCAACUAGUUGUUGGUAGAGUAAAAUCUAUGAGUAACGUAGCUAACGCGUGAAGUUGACCGCCUGGGGAGUACGGUGCAAGNUUAAAACNGAAAGAUUGACGNNGAGNGNGCGAGCGACGACGAGGAGAG